CACUGGCUUACUGGACUUUGAGAUAUCAGAUGAUGUACGAAGGGCUAUAUAAAUACGUUUGAUUUGAUUUGAUUUGACUCUUUCUUCUGGUCUUAAAAAUAACCCAAUGCCCCAGGGCAGUGAUUGAGGACACUGCUCUGUGUAGGGUGCCAUCUUUCGGAUGGGACAUUAAAAGGGUGUCCUGACUCUUUGAGGUCAUUAAAGAUCCCAUGGCACUUAUCGUAAGAGAAGGGGUGUUAACCCCGGUGUCCUGGCUAAAUUCCCAGUCUGGCCCUCAAACCAUCAUGGUCACCUAAUAAUCUCCAGUUUACAAUUGGCUCAUUCAUCCCCUUCCUCUCCCCUGUAACUAUUCCCCAGGUCGUUGCUGUAAAUGAGAACGUGUUCUCAGUCAACUUACCUGGUAAAAUAACGGAUAAAUAAACAAUUAUGGAAGGACUCCAGACCUUGGCGGUACGCCAUGACCAUGCUUUCACUGCAUUGCUGGAGCAAUUCUGCAGAUGAUCUACUAGGCAGCAAGCCACAACUGUAAACCCCCAGACUCUCAGUAACCCUGCCACCAGUGGCGCUUCUCCCCAGCCGACCCCGGCUCCUCGAGAACCCCGCUUACCUCCUCCAGAGUGCUACACUGGAGAUCCAGGAAUUAACAUAAGGGAAUAAACAAAAAGAGGAGGGACUCCCAUUUAAACUAUUUGGAAACUCCAGAAGAAGGGAUCUAAUUCUGCACUAGACAGGAUUCGAUACACCAUCAAAUUGUUAAGGAGCUACAGAGAGAGGAAGCAACACCCAAAGAGAAGGGAUCUAAUUCUGCGCUACACAGGACUUGAAACACCAAAAUAGUGUUUUCAACCUUUUCCAGGGGCCUGAUGCAUGUCCCUGUCAGCGCUGGCCCGGAAUAGAUUACCAUCCACAUUCCCCUAGUCAAGGGACUCAACAAGCUGUCAUCCAGCCAGCCUGGUCCUACCCUCCAUCCUCAGCCACCAGUGUGAAUCAAAGACAAGGCUGAGAUGAUCUCCUUCUGCUGUGUUCUUUGGGCCCUGUUUAGCAUAGGUCCCCACCCCAGGGCCUUUGGGCACAGCUCCAUGGCGCUGAUGGUGACUGACUAGGGACUGACUGGGGGAAUGCAGGGUUAGCUCAAAGCCUUGCUAUUCAAUGCUUUCUAUUGGAUUCAAAUUCUCUUUAAUGGG
rnacentral:lncRNA from 13 species